GAAAUGCGAUAAGUAAUGUGAAUUGCAGAAUUCAGUGAAUCAUCGAAUCUUUGAACGCACAUUGCGCCCCCUGGUAUUCCGGGGGGCAUGCCUGUUCGAGCGUCAUUUCACCACUCAAGCCUCGCUUGGUAUUGGGCGACGCGGUCCGCCGCGCGCCUCAAAUCGACCGGCUGGGUCUUUCGUCACCUCAGCGUUGUGGAAACUAUUCGCUAAAGGGUGCCGCGGGAGGCCACGCCGUAAAACAACCCCAUUUCUAAGGUUGACCUCGGAUCAGGUAGGGAUACCCGCUGAACUUAAGC
rnacentral:misc_RNA from 1 species